rnacentral:rRNA from 1 species
GUCAGAGUUUGAUCCUGGCUCAGAACGAACGCUGGCGGCAUGCUUUACACAUGCAAGUCGAACGGUAGAGGGGGCAACCCCUCGAGAGUGGCGAACGGGUGAGUAAUAUAUCGGAACGUGCCCAGCCGUGGGGGAUAACGUAGUGAAAAUUACGCUAAUACCGCAUACGAUCUAAGGAUGAAAGCGGGGGAUCGCAAGACCUCGCGCGACUGGAGCGGCCGAUGUCAGAUUAGGUAGUUGGUGGGGUAAAGGCUCACCAAGCCAACGAUCUGUAGCUGGUCUGAGAGGACGACCAGCCACACUGGGACUGAGACACGGCCCAGACUCCUACGGGAGCAGCAGUGGGGAAUAUUGGGGCAAUGGAGGAAACUCUGAUGCAGCGAUGCCGCGUGAGUGAA